UUAACAGCCGUCAAAAUACACACACGUACCGACACAGCUGUCGGGGUGCCCGGGAGACCGGGUCGCCAGUUGGGGUGCGUGGAGGACUAAC
rnacentral:sRNA from 1 species